UACGGGGGGGGCAAGCGUUGUUCGGAAUUACUGUGCGUAAAGGGCUCGUAGGUGGCCAACUAAGUCAGACGUGAAAUCCCUCGGCUUAACCGGGGAACGGCGUCUGAUACUGGAUGGCUUGAGUUCGGGAGAGGGAUGCGGAAUUCCAGGUGUAGCGGUGAAAUGCGUAGAUAUCUGGAGGAACACCGGUGGCGAAGGCGGCAUCCUGGACCGAGACUGACACUGAGGAGCGAAAGCCAGGGGAGCAAACGGG
rnacentral:rRNA from 1 species